rnacentral:misc_RNA from 1 species
AGUCGUAACAAGGUCUCCGUUGGUGAACCAGCGGAGGGAUCAUUACCGAGUUUACAACUCCCAAACCCAUGUGAACAUACCUAUCGUUGCUUCGGCGGGACCGCCCCGGGCGCAUUUCGUGCCCCGGAUCCAGGCGCCCGCCGGGGGACCUUAACUCUUGUUUUAUUUAGAAUCUUCUGAGUAGUUUUUACAAAUAAAUAAAAACUUUCAACAACGGAUCUCUUGGUUCUGGCAUCGAUGAAGAACGCAGCGAAAUGCGAAAAGUAAUGUGAAUUGCAGAAUUCAGUGAAUCAUCGAAUCUUUGAACGCACAUUGCGCCCGCCAGUAUUCUGGCGGGCAUGCCUGUCUGAGCGUCAUUUCAACCCUCAUGCCCCUAGGGCGUGGUGUUGGGGAUCGGCCAAAGCCCGCAAGGGACGGCCGGCCCCUAAAUCUAGUGGCGGACCCGUCGUGGCCUCCUCUGCGAAGUAGUAAUAUUCCGCAUCGGACAGCGACGAGCCCCUGCCGUUAAACCCCCAACUUUCUAAGGUUGACCUCAGAUCAGGUAGGAAUACCCGCUGAACCUAAGCAUAUCAAUAAAGCGGAGGA